rnacentral:rRNA from 1 species
CAGCCGCCGCGGUAAUACAGAGGGUGCGAGCGUUAAUCGGAUUUACUGGGCGUAAAGCGUGCGUAGGCGGCUUUUUAAGUCGGAUGUGAAAUCCCUGAGCUUAACUUAGGAAUUGCAUUCGAUACUGGGAAGCUAGAGUAUGGGAGAGGAUGGUAGAAUUCCAGGUGUAGCUGUGAAAUGCGUAGAGAUCUGGAGGAAUACCGAUGGCGAAGGCAGCCAUCUGGCCUAAUACUGACGCUGAGGUACGAAAGCAUGGUGAGCAAACAGGAUUAGAUACCCGCGUAGUCCCUGUCUCUUAUAC